UUUUGAAAAAAGAUACUGCAACCAUUGUAUUUUUAGCUAAAUAGAUCGCUUUUAAUCUCUCUCUUUAAAUGCCCUCUUCAAAAAUUGCUUUAUUUCAGACCAACAUAUAAAUAUGUAUGUUACAAAGAUAAUUGUGAAACCAUGAAUGUCUUAUUUCGGCAUAUGCUUCACUUAGAUUAAUUUCAGAAAUAAACUUUUUCAUAAGAUUCACUCAUAUCUAAUAUGCUUAGACGAUACACAAUUCUACAGAUAAAAACAUUAUGCACCAGAAAAUAACAUAAAAACUUAAUUUGUGUUAAUUUUUCAUCUUAAUUUAGCAAACCUGCAUAUGUUCGUUAAAUUUUAAAACACUGUUAAUCAAGAGGAAAAUCAAGAACUAAAUGCUAUCGACAACAUUGUUAAAACAGAUGGAAGUUUUAAAAUCGUUCCUCACGUAAUGUAUAGCGAGAGAAACAUUUCGAAGAAAAUUCUUUGAAAAAUAUUUAAAAAUUUAAAAUAUUAAAUGGAAAUCACAUCUUUUUUAAAUAAUCAUGACUAGAAGAUAUAGUUAACAAUGUGUCUCCUCUUUAAGAACGGAUUAAGUACCAGUUUUUGUCGUGAUUUUCAUAUUUACAUAUGCUCGCCGUACCACCAUUUAAACCAUUCCAUACUAUUACUACGGAUAUAAAUCAAAUUUUCGAUUGCUAAAUAGGCAUCAAGCAUUUAUUUCAAGAUGAAUUUCAAUUUCUUUAAAAUUGUUUUCGCCACUGGAAUUUUUCUUCUGUUUUUACUUUCUGAAGUAAAUGGAGGAGUUGGACUAGGGAAAAGAAGGGAGACAAGAAAGGUGAUGGAAGGUAUGGAAGAAGUUUUUUAUGGUUAAGCAUCUGACACCAUGACCUUCAAGAAAAUAAUCUGAUUAAAUCAAGAAACUAACAUUGUGUUUAAGAUAUUAAAUAAAUGAUUUUGCAUAAUUAAUAA